GAUGAACGCUAGCUCCAGGCUUAACACAUGCAAGUCGAGGGGAAACGGCAUUGAGUGCUUGCACUCUUUGGACGUCGACCGGCGCACGGGUGAGUAACGCGUAUCCAACCUUCCCAUUACUGUGGGAUAACCUGCCGAAAGGCAGACUAAUACCGCAUAGUCUUCGAUGACGGCAUCAGAUUUGAAGUAAAGAUUUAUCGGUAAUGGAUGGGGAUGCGUCUGAUUAGCUUGUUGGCGGGGUAACGGCCCACCAAGGCGACGAUCAGUAGGGGUUCUGAGAGGAAGGUCCCCCACAUUGGAACUGAGACACGGUCCAAACUCCUACGGGAGGCAGCAGUGAGGAAUAUUGGUCAAUGGACGGAAGUCUGAACCAGCCAAGUAGCGUGCAGGAUGACGGCCCUAUGGGUUGUAAACUGCUUUUGUAUGGGGAUAAAGUUAGGGACGUGUCCCUAUUUGCAGGUACCAGACGAAUAAGGACCGGCUAAUUCCGUG
rnacentral:rRNA from 1 species